rnacentral:rRNA from 1 species
UACGGAGGGUGCGAGCGUUGUCCGGAAUCACUGGGCGUAAAGGGCGCGUAGGCGGCCUUGUCAGUCAGGCGUGAAAGCCCCGGGCUCAACCUGGGAACGGCGCUUGGGACGGCGAGGCUGGAGUUCGGGAGAGGAGAGUGGAAUUCCCAGUGUAGAGGUGAAAUUCGUAGAUAUUGGGAAGAACACCGGUGGCGAAGGCGGCUCUCUGGACCGACACUGACGCUGAGGCGCGAAAGCGUGGGGAGCAAACAGG